CAGAGGAUAGAGACGCGAGACAGAGUGAGAUCCAGAUUUGAGCCUUCAUUCUCCUCCUUGCUUGGCUUUCCUCCUUCGCUAGUGAGUAGUGUAUCGUCUUCCACCGCUGCAAGGUGUCCCGACGAAGUGACUAUCGACCUUCUCCCCUGUUGUGUCAGCUAAGAAACUGGCCUUGUUGACGGUGGGUGUCGGAUCCUUCUCCCUCCUCUGUUCUUAGCGUCACCGGCAUGGGUGGCAAGGAUUCGACUUGCCACCACCUUCCUCUACCUACGCUUCACUUCGUUCAGGUUUUUCUGCCAUCUCCUUCUGCUCUUCUUCCCUGACCGCUGUACCAAAUCAAAGACCGUUCCUCUUUUCCUCACCGGCGUCGAUUGCGUAGGUGUUUGUAAGAUGGGUAGCUCGAUUGAAGUAUAAGGAGUGAGUGUUGAGCUUUGAAUGUAUUACAGGUGACUUUAUACAGAACAUUGGUUGCUAACGGCAGUUCCGUUAGUCCUUGGCGCGCCAUGGUACACCUAACUAGCAGUGUGUUUAUGGGAGGUGCUAGCCCCGUGCGAUGGCCAACGCACAUGGAACGGAGAUGGUUAUUCGUGAGCAUUGUACUCACGUUUGUUUCGUGGCUUCAAGCGCGUUUGAUUAGCAUUACUCUCGUGGACUGUGUGUCCACGUUUGUUUCAUAGCUUCGGCUGCAUUUGGUUACUUACCCUUGUGGAUUGUGUGUUCAUGUUUGUAUUCGUGGCAUAAGUUGCGUUCGGUUAUUUACCCUCGUGGAUUGUAUGUCCACAUUUGUAUUCGUGGCAUAAGCCGCGUUCGGUUAUUUACCCUCGUGGAUUGUGUAUCCACAUUUGUUUAUUGUUCUGAUAAGUCCCUAAAAUUAUGAAUUUGAUUAUUUGGUGAUUUUAUAUUCCAUUGAUUUUUAUUUAGUAAACUAUUUACAAAUAUUUAUAUUAUUUAUGUGCUUUCUUGAAAUCAAGUGGUAAUAACAUUUGUUAUGAUAGUUUAAUGAUUUAAGAUUUUAUUUAAAAUUUUAUAGAGCUAUUUUAUUUUGAAAUUUAUUAAAUUUUUAUGAAAUUGUUAUCUAUUUAACUUACAUAAUUAUUUCAAACCUUUCUUUUUAUUCA